CUGGCUAAGCCUACUAGUAAAGAAAAUAUUGUAUUUCCUGUUAUUGCUGUGUUGAUUAUUUUAUUGUUUUUCUACUUUUCAGAUUGUUUUCUUGCCUGUUCUCAUGUCUCAGAAAGAAGGACACUGAGGUAUAGUGAUUCAUGGGUAGUCUCCAGCCAAGGGAAUAGUGGUGAAGAUUUAAUUAAAGGCCCACGGGCAUGGCUAGCAUCCCCGGAAAUUCUUGUACCUGGUAAUCCUAAUCAUGUACAAAAUACAUACGCACUACACAAAACGCACAUGGCCACACAUGUCUCUGUAUAAAUUGCAUACUUACUCACAUGGUAAAUAUUCUAUGACCAAUCUGUCUCCCAACAUAUGGAAUGCAAGAAACACUAACAGGGAUUUUCACUAAUGUGAGGAUUGGCAGGACAUCAAAGUGAAUUCAAGAAACAUUAUCAAAGUUAGCUUUACUUCCAGUUUGGCUAAAUUGGCCUUAAAUGUGUAAAUAAUUUGAAAUUCACUUUGAAUUCUCACUUUAUUAAAUAACCCUGACACUUGAAAAAUACAGUUUGAAAAAAAGUACUGUGGCUUCCGGUGUUUGGGCGAGCCAGG